rnacentral:lncRNA from 1 species
GGGCCUUUUAUAGCUGACUAUGCCGUAAGAACUUUGCUCAUUGUUGAAUGCGGUAUGACCUAUACUAGUAGCUUUUAAUUUCUGUGUCAUUUGCAAUCAUACCACAUUUUUUUAAUUCUACUGUAGAUAAGUUCUUUUAUUAUACCAGGAAUUUAAGAUUGGACCUUAAUUCAAACGGUGAUUCGGGAUUAACACUAGUUGGGAUUUUAAUUUUUCUUUAGUAA